UACGGAGGGUGCAAGCGUUGUUCGGAUUUACUGGGCGUAAAGAGCGUGUAGGCGGCCAGGUAGGUCUGCUGUGAAAACUCGAGGCUCAACCUCGAGACGUCGGCGGAAACCAUCUGGCUAGAGUCCGGAAGAGGAGAGUGGAAUUCCUGGUGUAGCGGUGAAAUGCGCAGAUAUCAGGAGGAACACCGGUGGCGAAGGCGGGACUCUGGGCCGAUACUGACGCUGAGGAGCGAAAGCGUGGGGAGCGAACAGG
rnacentral:rRNA from 1 species